rnacentral:rRNA from 1 species
UACGUAGGGGGGCAAGCGUUGUCCGGAAUUAUUGGGCGUAAAGAGCGCGUAGGCGGUCCGGUAAGUCGGUUGUGAAAGUCGGGGGGCUCAACCCUCGGAUGCCGAUCGAUACUGUCGGGCUAGAGUCCGGAAGAGGCGAGUGGAAUUCCUGGUGUAGCGGUGAAAUGCGCAGAUAUCAGGAGGAACACCAAUGGCGAAGGCGGCGUCCUGGACCAACACUGACACUGAGGAGCGAAAGCCAGGGGAGCAAACGGG